rnacentral:rRNA from 1 species
CGAACGGGUGAGUAACGCGUGAGGAACCUGCCUCAAAGAGGGGGACAACAGUUGGAAACGACUGCUAAUACCGCAUAGGCCCACGGGUCGGCAUCGAUCUGAGGGAAAAGGAGUGAUCCGCUUUGAGAUGGCCUCGCGUCCGAUUAGCUAGUUGGUGAGGUAACGGCCCACCAAGGCGACGAUCGGUAGCCGGACUGAGAGGUUGAACGGCCACAUUGGGACUGAGACACGGCCCAG